GCGCUAGACGUCUGCCUGUCUGCCGUGCCGCCGGUGUUUCUCUCCGGUAUGUUUUCGACAGGGACAUUUCCGGGGAAGAGCUCCAUCUCAGCACCUGCCCAGCACCAAACAAGUUGACAGAUCAAGUUAGCUACUAGCUCAUGAACAUGGUGGACCGUUUAGCAACUAAUUAGCUAGAUAUUUCCCUCAGGAGUUAGUGGAAACCCAACCAAAGCUAAAAGGAGAGCCAGGUGGCUAGAAACAUAUAACUUCUCAAUAUCUGCUUGGAUGAAGACGGAAAGGUGAUAUGGUGAUCUGGAGCAGCACGAUCACUGCUCCCCAAAGGCCAGUGGGCCUCAGCUUCCUGACAAAGGUCUUUUUCAAUAUCCUGCAAACAUGGACGGCGGAGGCGUGCGUGCUAUCCGGUACUUAAAACACAGGGGGCCUAUGGGCUGCGGACAUGGCCCUACAUCAGGACUCAGAUCACAGGUAGAAGCAAUAGGAGGAGGCACAGCUUCCGCAGGCAGAAUACUGGCUCAUGCAUCAACACACCUCCACUGCCACAUCACACAACAAAGCUGUUUUCAUGCAACAUACUCUAUACACUGGACAAACUAGUUCAAGAAAAUGCUUUUAAUUUUUUUGUGAAUACAGAAAAGGGGUGUAUUUUUGGUGAUGCAUUAAGAAUUCCAUUACUUUUAUCAACUACUCCCAACAAAAACAUCAUAAGGUGUCACAAACAUUCACUUAAUGUGUUGCACAGGCCAUAACCUGAGUUUUGAAGGCUACAAAUCUAAGUGUGUGGUAAAGUAAUCACAUCACUGUCUUUAUAAACAACCUAAAUCAAU